UACGAAGGGGGCUAGCGUUGCUCGGAAUCACUGGGCGUAAAGCGCACGUAGGCGGACUCUUAAGUCGGUGGUGAAAUCCUGGAGCUCAACUCCAGAACUGCCUUCGAUACUGAGAGUCUCGAGUCCGGGAGAGGUGAGUGGAACUGCGAGUGUAGAGGUGAAAUUCGUAGAUAUUAGGAAGAACACCAGUGGCGAAGGCGGCUCACUGGCUCGGUACUGACGCUGAGGAGCGAAAGCGUGGGGAGCCGAACGAGG
rnacentral:rRNA from 1 species